GUGACCUUGUCUAAUGUUGCUGUUUUGUGAGAUUGUUUAUGCCCAGCUGGAGAAGAACGUGGUGUAACUAUGAGCCCCCGGCCUGCUCUCACGCUAAAGUCUAACUAUGAGCAUCAGAAUGCAGCACGUCUCUGGCAUCAGAAAAUGAAUGUGAGAAGGAGGCUGGCUGCUUUGGGAACAUCAGGAAAAGGCACCUGGAUCUGGAUAGCGGUCAUUCUAAUGGAACACAGGAGGAAGGGCAGUACCAGUGAAGUCAUCUUCAGAGGUUCGGUAAGCGCUCGCACCACGAUGGUGGGCCACGAGCAGAAAAGGAGCACACAGCAGACAAACACGCUCAUUUGUAGAAUGGUUCAAGACAAUAUGUAGAACUUCAAAUGCUUUCAGGAAUUUUUCAAGGACCUAGUGUACCUGAAAAGUUUGUUUGGUUAAUAACCAAACAAAAAUAAAGACAAAAACAGAAUUAGAAACUGGAU
rnacentral:lncRNA from 1 species